GCUCGAUUACAUGGGACACCAUUUAUGCACAGCGCUGAUUUUUCGGAUUUAUCCUCAUCUGAUGAAGAAAUAGCAGUAUCGGUUGAUCGGGAAGACCUCCGUCUUCCCGAUCAACCGAGCUGCCGAGCCCCGGAGCUGUGCAGCUCACGGCUGUGUAUGGAAGUAUUCUUCCGUCUUCCCGAUCAACUGAGAUGUUCUCUGACACUCCCGCGUGUAAAAAUGCUCUAGAGACUAGCUGGAAGCCCCACGCUUAUAUGAUGCAGAUUGGACUAUUGACAGAACUUUUGAGACGUCAACAGAAAAACAUGAUCCCACCUGAGGUGACCGUCUGGUGGAAGAGACCAAUAAAUCUCAGAAAAAAAAUGACCUAGCAAAGAACACUCAUAGCUUUCGACUUCAAAUGCUCAAGACCAUCACACAUGUAACAGUGGGAGAAAUCUGCUCACUGUCUCCUUUCUUUACUCCUUUCUUUCCUACCUCACCCUUGCCAUUUCCUGACGAGACCCUGGGUGCUGUUUUGCCACUGUAUAAUGAAGACCCAGGUGUGGAGUGCAUUGAAGAAACUAAUUCAGUUGAUUAAACUUUCGCUCUUCUCAAUACAAGUAAAGAGAAGAGAAGGACAUCAGCCAGCCAUGAUAAUGAAUACCAAAAAUCAAUACCAUUUCUAACUGUUGCUCGUGCUGCUGAAUAUUUUUGUGAAUUCUGUGCAUUCAAAUGUAUACCAUUUGGUGGCAAUAUUACAAAAUGUA